UGCUGAAUGCAGUCUCCGCUCUGUGCUGCUUUCCGGCCUCGCUUCUGAGCUUUAUCUUCCAGGCUUUUGCUAACCUCCGACGAAUUUCGCGUUAUCCUCGGGUUUCUCGACUGUUGUUAUUAUUGAUGUACCAGGGUUUUUUUGACAAUAGAGUCUGUAUGUUUUUUAUAGCUCUGCACACCAAUCUUGCAUUUUAUAUUGGGUACUGCAGUGAGCAGUUGUUAUCUGUAGAUGCUGUUGUCUGUUCAGCAAGUUACAACAGUUUUUUCUGCAGUUUCUAGUGGCCAGAGUGGUUAAGAUGCAUGACUAAAAACUGUUCCAAGCUAUAGAUGAAGAUCAAUAAUGUUUUCAGUGUUUUUUUUCUUUUACUUUUGAUUUGUUUUGUUUUAGAUUAGCAAAAUCUGCUUUAUCAUUUUGAGGGUAGAAAGGGAACUGAUUGCAAUAAAAGCAGAACAAGAUUUAUAGCAUGUUCUUAUAAAUAAAGGCACACUGCUCUGCCAAAUUAUGUAAAAUGUGGCAUUCACAUUGUUCUGUUCCUCUCAUGAUCUAUGGUGCCAUAUGGACUUAAAAAAAUAGGACUAUUGUAUGGAUUUCUGCAGCAUAAUUGGCAUUGACACUUGUAUUGAUUGAAUAAAUGAAAUAACAUGCACAGUUCUGACAAUCUUUUCAGGUUUCUAAGAUUACAGUCGUGAUGAUUCUAUGUCAGCAAAAAAGUCUUUAGGAAUUUAAAAUGAAGCCACAGACAGUUCAUUAAUAUACAUAUGUUUGAAAUUGCAGCCCUAACAAUUGAGUUCUCUGCUCUGAAUGCUAUAAUAUAUAUUGUCGUGAGCUAUAUGCCCUCAGAUCAUUUCAGUGAAUUACAAGAAAAUUAUGGAGUGGAGAACAUUUUAUUAUUGUGCUUUUCAUCCAGGGACACAGCUUUUCACUGAUGAAAAUUGAAAACACUGAAAAUUAAAAUGUAAAUGCAUUUAUCAAAAGAAGAGGAAAAAAUUGAAUCCUAAACUUUAACUGCUUUUGCAUUUUACUUCUUCAAAAGGCAAUUUUGAUAUUUACAUCUCAAAAGCACAAGUAGUCAGACUCAGUAAUAUCUAUUUGGAUUCUUAUUAAUAAGUGACUGGCUGUUUGUUGCUGGAGGUCUGAAGAUUUGUUUUAGUAAAACAGAAUGGAAAGCUGUGUGGGUGUUUAUUUGUGUAUGUGUACAUUCUGAGAGAUAAACAAAAUAAUUAUGCAUUUAUUUAGCAUUUUUCUCCUUUCUGUUUAACACAUCCUUUUUGUGUUUUUUACAGGUCAGUGCCACCUUACAAAGAAUGUGAGUUACUUAUGUCUUUGUACAGAAGAAAGAAAAGACAGAAAGCGAUGAAGACUAGAAGCUCUUCACAUGAAAUUUAGCACUUAAGAGACAGGACAAAUGCAUAAUUUAAGAUUUAUUUAAGCUGGAUUUUUUUCCUUUUAGUUUCAAAAAAAAGUUUGGUGUUUUUUUUUUUUUUUUUUUGGUUGGCAUCCUGACUUAACUGUGGAUAUGUUAACAGCCCCUAAGAAGAAGCUCAUUUAUCCAUAUGCUGAAGAAGACUGUGGGCUUAGUUUCCUGCAGAGGAAGACUGCUGGAUGAAGCAUGGAAGCAGGCAGGCUGUGCAGCAAACUGAGACAUCCUGUGCCUCUGGUGCUGCCACGCAAUUUCAUCUCUUCAUUAAUGGCCCAUGAAAAGUGAAGACCAAGAUAUUUGGACCAAAGAGCUGCCAGAGACUAAACCAACCAUUACCCCUUGAAAGAUUGCAUCAUUGAUGCUUUAAAUUAAAACUUUAUUGCCAUUGUAAAAUGUCUGUGAGUUACCCAGAGAAAAUAAAAUAUAUGGUUUUCA